UUACCAGCGUUUGACAUGGUAGGACGACUGGCAGAGAUGCCUUUCUUCCCUUCGGGGACCUACACACAGGUGCUGCAUGGCUGUCGUCAGCUCGUGUCGUGAGAUGUUGGGUUAAGUCCCGCAACGAGCGCAACCCUCGACUUUAGUUACCAUCAUUAAGUUGGGUACUUUAAAGUAACCGCCGGUGAUAAGCCGGAGGAAGGUGGGGAUGACGUCAAGUCCUCAUGGCCCUUACGCGCUGGGCUACACACGUGCUACAAUGGCAAGUACAGUGGGCAGCAACCCCGCGAGGGUGAGCUAAUCUCCAAAACUUGUCUCAGUUCGGAUUGUUCUCUGCAACUCGAGAGCAUGAAGGCGGAAUCGCUAGUAAUCGCGGAUCAGCAUGCCGCGGUGAAUACGUUCCCAGGCCUU
rnacentral:rRNA from 1 species